UACGUAGGGUGCAAGCGUUGUCCGGAAUUAUUGGGCGUAAAGGGCGCGUAGGCGGCCUGAUAAGUCUGGAGUGAAAGUCCCGCUUUCAAGGUGGGAAUUGCUUUGGAAACUGUUGGGCUAGAGUGUGGGAGAGGAUAGCGGAAUUCCCGGUGUAGCGGUGAAAUGCGUAGAGAUCGGGAGGAACACCAGUGGCGAAGGCGGCUAUCUGGACCAAGACUGACGCUGAGGCGCGAAAGCGUGGGUAGCAAACAGG
rnacentral:rRNA from 1 species